GCAGUCGUGGCCUAAUGGUUAGAGUCUUGGACUUGUAAACUGAAGGUCGUGGGUUUGAGUCCGGCAGGGAUUGUA